ACUUUAUCAUCUGGAAAAUGAACUUACUGGUAAAUGCAGAAAGUGAUAUGAAAUGCCAUAUUUAUUAAACUAGAGACUGAAAAUUUGAGAGCAAAUGGGCCUAUUGAAAACCGGAUAGUCUUUGGUGCUCCUCAUGGGAAAAAUCAGCUGCCAGCCUGAUGGCUGGAAAAUAAGAUUUGCUGAGAGCUCAGCUGGAAAUUAAACAACCAUUGAGAAUAAAAUAUUUGCAUAGCAUCAGGGAAUAUGUCAAUACAGCAAUGCUACUGCAAUAAUAUACUGAGUUAGUAUGAAUAUUCUGUCUUCAUUCAUGCAGGCUUCAAUUUUAUCUGCCAAUGCCUAUGUUUCACUGGCUGAAGCCUUGCUGAUCAAGAGGGCAGAAGUCACCUCGUGGUAUCCACUUGGCAGUUCCUAGCUUGGCAUAACUAAAUCCAAAGCAGAGUACAAAACCUUAGGUCUCUGGAAUUGCUUUUUAAAUAGACAAGGCUUCUCAGCCUGAAUAACACACAGCUGCUUCUCUUCCACAGCAACUGGCUCUAGCUCUCACAGAAUUAAGGAAUAAGUAGAAAGUAGCAACUACUGAGUCCUGAAUUCUGUACUUCAAUUCUUUCAUAUAGGGAUUUUUCCCUGUUACACUGGCUCCCUUGUUCUUGAUCAGUGUUUUCUUCUUAUCUCCUAUGUGCUUGAUGAUUAAUUAUAGAAUACAACCAAGCAGAUGACUGGAGAUCAGGUAAGUGACGGGAUGGCUUGCAGCAAAUUGUCAUCAGAUGGAACCAAGAGUUUUCUCUUCUUCAGGCUGAAACUGAAUUAUUGCAUUACAAGGACCCAGCAAAAGAAACUCUGCAACUGCCGUUUUAAGACUGUGAUGGGGUCCCUCUACUGAAUCUUGCAAAUUCAGUAAAAUAGCUUGUGGUACCCAGCAGUCUGUCCCAUUUUUUUGCCAAUGGUUGAGGGAAAAUAAGAUGCACAGGCAAAUGUUAAAUGCUGAAGCUUAAAACUUUUGACUGUUACAAUAAAAAAAUCCCACUUAUCUAUAAUUACACUCUGCAUAUCACUAUAUACUUAUCAGAUACAUAUCCAUAGAUACACAGACUACACAUUAAUAUGUAAGAUGGAUAUAACUAUCAACUGAUGGUAGCUUAUGCUGCUGUGCUACAAGAGAUGAGCACUAGAGCUGAUGCAAUGCGUGCAUGCUGCUCUUCCGAAGGGGCUGUUAACUUCCAUCAAAUAAAAGAAACAAGACAGUUUGCCAAUAGUUAUUCCUUAAACUACAGAUGCUCACCAGCAGGAGCCUGAAAUCAGUACAUGUUUUUUCCCCUGACCCAAGAAUAAGUAGAGAUACAAAUCUAAGUAUUGCAUUCUGUUUACAAAAAAAUGUAAUGUUUUCUUACAGAAUAUAAAAAAUGGCCUAACAUACAACACAGAAAGUAAUGUUUUAAGUAUUAGAAACAUUUUAAAGCUAUCAUUAGAUUCCUCAAUUAUUGACAAACCUGACUGUAAAGCAGGUGACAUUUUGACAUGUAUUGACACUCACGUAUUCAACAGUGGAGCCCAAACACAUGACCCAGUAAACUGACCAGCUGUUUGCUCCUGAGUACACUAAAUGUAAGCUUUCACUGAGAUUUAAGUCUCAUGUAGGUUACCUGGCAUUUGAAUUUGGUUACCACAACACAGCUGAUGCAUAUGGAUUUGUUCAGCUUAAAUUCCUAAGCCUUCACUUUAGUUGUAACUUCAUGGCAUUUUUUUUUCUUAAAAAAUCCCAAAACAAUGAACGUACUGGUUUGUCUGUGGUUUGUAACAAGUAACUCUGAAACCUGUAAGCUUUGCAUAAACUACACACACAUACUGGUGUAAACAUGAAAAGCUUUUUCUCCGCUCUUUCAGUCUCCUUUUGGAAUAGAAUGGAAUGAAAAAUUACAGGGCAAACUCAAACAUCUGGGUUUAGUUUCUUAAGCAGAGCCCGCUAAUUAAAUGUAAGAUAGUAUUCUACACAAUUAGCUUCUCCCCUGAUCAGUUUGCUUAUUCAUGAAAACUGAUACUUUCCCUGUUCGUCUGUAACUAUGUGUCCUUUUAAAAAAAACCCAAAAAGCAGCACUGAAAUUCCUUUUAUGAUAGCACUGAUGCUACAAUACUUAAUGCUGGAAAGAGCUUUGAGCUGUUUCUAAUAAACAGAUGUUAAAAUGGAGGAGUACUGUGCAGCUCUCCUGUUGCACAUUAACUUGGUGACAGACGGAUGAACAUGGCAUGGUGUGCACAGCAUGUCACCCUUGGCACCUUGAGCCUGUAUAAUUGGUAAGGGAAAGCCUGUUGCGAUGCAUGAGCACUCAAGAAUAUGAAGAUAUAAAAGACCAUGUGUCUUGACAUGUGACCUGUUAACUUCAGUUAACAGGAACGAUGCAGCUAAUGAGAGCUGGCGUUUGGAAAUGUAUCGCUAAAAGCACCUUGGUCUGUCCCAGCCCAGGCAGCUUGAAGAGGAAGCUGAACCAAAUAGCGUAACUACUGCUGCAAGCGCUGAUUGCUCCUUUCCUGAUAUAAACCAAUAAAAAUCCCUCUGACAUCACUGAAGACACCCUUAGAUAAAAAUGUUGUAACAUGGAAAGAGGAGGACCACGCAUGCAAAACCACACAAGAGAAAACCUGACAGCAAAGGUCCUCCCACUUCUUACGAGAAUAGGUCAGCUCACGGUGAUCAUUGGUGAAGGCUCUGCACUACAGUCAGAAGCCUGGCUCCCAUCAUCUGCAGGAGACUAUUGGAGUGAUCUGAAAUUCCUCAAGAGAAGCAGGGUGCAUUUCAUAUCCCAGCCAGGAGAGGUAUUUUUUUCAGUGUGCUUCAAGACUGUUUCAAGCUUCAAGGAUAGAGAGCACUAAAAAGAAAUGUACUUAAGACAAUUUUUUGCUUGCCGGCAUGGCUGGGAAGAGAAAUGCCAAGGUAACUCCAUGUAACUGAUCGUUUGCAGUAACGGA